ACAAACGUGAGAUGGAACUGGAGGCAAGGCGGGAGCGGGAGCGUGAAAUAAUUGAAGCCGCCUAACACCUUGGGAGCUGUAAUCGACAUUUACGUUGGUUGAUUAUAAAUCGACGCCUAGAAUACUAACGAUGUAGAAUAUUGAUGUGUUGAAUGUCUAAAUCGACCGAAUCACAAUUUCUAAAUCUGAUUUCUUCUACUCUUCUAUUUCUAAUUCCCAUUUGGCGAUUCAUGUGGGUUGAAGACUUACUAAGAUUGUCAAUCGUCUAUUUCUGGAACCCAAUUUUGAUUUCACCUAUUCUCCUCUGUUUUUAUCGCCAGUCUGAUUCGGUAUUUUGGUGAUUCCCGAUUUGUAUGAGUUGGAGUUUGAAUUGUUAAGAUAAGGAGGUAUUUCGGUAAUUUUCUGUUUAAAAUAUGCAUCUUUCAUUUCAUAUUUAUUUGUUUUUAUUACAUUAGUUUCAUGAGUUUGCUUCAUCUCUGUUUGUUGGGUUUUUUUUUGUAGUUUGCUUAAGGGGAGUUCGAAUAUGUACUGAAUUGUUUAAUUCAAAAUCAGGAGUUCACAGUUUUGGUUUCUCAUCUAAAUAUUAUCGAUUCUUUCGGCGUAAAAUGUUUUUUAAUUGUGGAUCUCAUUCUAAUAUGUUAUACUCUAGUUUUGUCUAGGAAGUGGGAAUUGCAAUUGGAAGCACUCAAGGUUACUUCAGCAUCUCUAAUCACCAACCGAAAAUAGAUUUUUACUUGGAAAUUAGAGAUUUGCACUUGGCAGACGAUUUUUUUGUUAUUUGCUUCAACGUUUCUUUUGCUUAUGAAAUUUGCUAAUACUUAUUAUGUUUUAGUUUUUGUAUUUGUUAAUGAGACUAGAUUGUUUAGUAUCCAAUACAAUAAUUUUUUAAUAUCGUGUAUAAUUUUUUUUCCCUACAAAUGUCUUUUGGUGUAUCCUAUUUGGUAUUGAUGAUUUUUUUGCAAAUAA